CCUGCGGAAGGAUCAUUAUUGAAAUAAACCUGAUAAGUUGUUGCUGGUUCUCUAGGGAGCAUGUGCACACUUGUCAUCUUUGUAUCUCCACCUGUGCACCUUUUGUAGACCUUGGGUAUCUCUCUGAUUGCUUUAGCAACUCAGGAUUGAGGAUUGACUUUCUGUCUCUUCUUACAUUUCCAGGCCUAUGUUUUUCAAAUACCCUAAUGUAUGUUUAUAGAAUGUAAUCAAAUAGGCCUUYGUGCCAAUAAAUUGAUACAACUUUCAGCAACGGAUCUCUUGGCUCUCGCAUCGAUGAAGAACGCAGCGAAAUGCGAUAAGUAAUGUGAAUUGCAGAAUUCAGUGAAUCAUCGAAUCUUUGAACGCACCUUGCGCUCCUUGGUAUUCCGAGGAGCAUGCCUGUUUGAGUGUCAUUAAUAUAUCAACCUYUUUUUUUKUGGUUGGAUGUGGGUUUGCUGGCCACUUUGGAGGUCAGCUCUCCUUAAAUGCAUUAGCGGACAAUAUUUUGCCAAAYGUUUCAUUGGUGUGAUAAUUAUCUACACUAUUGACGUGAAGCAAGGUUCAGCUUCUAACAGUCCAUUGACUUGGACAAUUUUUUAUUU
rnacentral:rRNA from 1 species